rnacentral:miRNA from 10 species
AGACAAGAUAAUAUUAGGUUGUUGCAAAAGUUAUUGCAGUUUUUGCCACUAAAAGCAAUGGCAAAAACCGCAGUUACUUUUGCACCAACAUAA